rnacentral:lncRNA from 1 species
GAAAGAGCCAGAGAAUGAGCAAGGCUGCACCUUGGGAAAAGCCCCCCGGUACAUAGUUGUAUAUUCUUCGUUGUGGGUCCUUCUAGUUGUGGCAUGUGGGAUGCUGCCUCAGCGUGGUUUGAUGAGCAGUGCCAUGUCCGCGCCCAGGAUUCGAACCGACGAAACACUGGGCCGCCUGCAGCAGAGCGCGCGAACUUAACCACUCGGCCACAGGGCCAGCCCCAAAAACUGGCUUUUAAAAAAAGGGAAGAACCAAGCGUUUAUUCUGUCUUUCUCAUAUGAACUGUCCUACUGGGUAACAAAUAGUAGUUGAGAAGCAUGUCUUCAUAAAGAGUAUUCCAAUAAAGAAAUAAAAAGAACUGACAUAAUUAUAAUAUCACCAUUUUGCAAUACACGUGGAAUAUAGAUCUAGGCAUUGAGCUGCUGUCA